AGAGCCCGGGAGUGCGGCUGCGGCGGGGCGGGCGCGCCGGGGGAGGGGACAGAACUCGGCCCCCGCCGGGGUCUCCAGGCAACGCCGCCCGCCCGCUCGCGGACGUCAGGCGCCUUCCCGGCCUCCCAUUGGCCGCCGCCAAUUUUUUUCCUCCGGGGGAGGGUGCUGGAGGCCUCCGGGCGGGGCCGGCGGCCCGGGCGGCCGGUGUGGCGUGUAGCUCUCGGCCCCAGUGGAUGCCGCCGGGUGGCGGCGGGAAGGCACGGCUGUUCUCCUCCGGGGCUGCGCGGUCGGAGAGCCCCGAUCAGUAGGAUGAAAAAUGAAUGCGGAUGAAGCUACUACCCUUCCAAAGCUAUGAUUCUCAAGAUAACUAUUAGUGGGUAACACUUAUUCUGAAAUUAUAAAUGAAAAAUGGUGAGCCAGUGAAAAACUGGACCAGCAGCAAAACGUUUGCAAGAGCGCCACCUGCUGGAUGUGUGAGGAAGAGGGCUGGGCUGGGCUUGAAAAGGAAGAAAAUCAUUAAGGUUUCUAGAUUAAAAUCACUGCAAAGGAUGUGAGAGAGAGAGAGAGAGAGUGAGAGUGUGUGUGUGUGUGUGUGUUUGAGUGUUUGAGACGAGUCUCACUCUGUCGCCCAGGCUGGAGUGCAGUGGUGCGAUCUCGGCUCACUGCAACCUCCGCUUCCCGGGUUCAAGCAAUUCUCUGCCUCAGCCUCCCGAGUGGCUGGGAUUACAGGCGCCCACCACCACGCCCAGCUAAUUUUUUUUGCAUUUUUUGUAGAGACGGGGGUUUCACCAUCUUGACCAGGCUGGUCUUGAACUCCUGACCUUGUGAUCCACCCGCCUCAGCCUCCCAACAUGCUGGGAUUACAGGUGUGAAACACCGCGCCCAGCUGAUAAAUGUGUUUAAUGGCAUUUUAAGUGAGACACUUGUUACUGCCACCAAGCGAUAGGUAAACAAUGUAGGCACAGAAUAAGUCAUUUUCUCUGACUCUCCUUUCCCCAGGUUCCUCCUCACAGCUAAGAGGACGGAUAUACUUUCACUGGGUGGCAAAAUCAGGUUUCCUAGCAUUAGCAUACUUUUUGGGGGGUAGGGGAAAUGCUCAAUGGCUCUUUGAAUAAUUAGGAUGGAAUGUGUAGGUCACUGCAGGACUUAACACAUGCAGACAAUAAAAAUAAAUUAUUUGUGCAAAGUUGAUCCUGAAUUCUCCCAGGAUCCAACAUUUGGAACAUAUUUCUGCUUUGCUAAAAUGGAACAAAAUUCACAAAUCUGACCAAAUGGGCUGUUUGCCAACUAAUCCAGCCCCUACAUAAAGCCAGAAAAGGGGAGAGGGGAGGGAUCAUGUGUAUGUGCUAAAAUCCAACUCUCUGUAGUCAUUUCACAGAGAAUGCAGGGCGGCUAUGGCAGGGCAUUAGAGGCCCUGGGGGAUGAAAAAGGCUCAUUCAGGCCUGCAGGUGGCCUGCACCUGGGGACAGAGUAAAUCUGCAACGGAGUCGCCUCACUUCCUACAGUAGCAGCAAUAAAAUAGGCUGCCCUGAAUGAGUGAACUGAAGAAAAGUUUCUCUGUAAGGAGUGACAGACGACUGGACUCACAGAAGUAGGGGAGGCAUGAAUGGGAUAAAAUUUUUGAAUUUAUGUUCAACAUGUUUCCUGCAGAUUUAGUGGAGGAAAAAUCCACACAUACCCCCAUCCCAAUCCCCCAG
rnacentral:lncRNA from 1 species